CUACGGGUGGCUGCAGUGAGGAAUAUUGCACAAUGGGGGGAACCCUGAUGCAGCAACGCCGCGUGGAGGAUGACGCAUUUCGGUGUGUAAACUCCUUUUAUAUGUCAAGAAAAUGACGGUAGCAUAUGAAUAAGCACCGGCUAACUCCGUGCCAGCAGCCGCGGUAAUACGGAGGGUGCAAGCGUUACUCGGAAUCACUGGGCGUAAAGGGCGCGUAGGCGGGUUGGAAAGUCAGGUGUGAAAUCCUACAGCUUAACUGUAGAACUGCACUUGAAACUUCUAAUCUAGAGUAUGGGAGGGGGAGAUGGAAUUAGUGGUGUAGGGGUAAAAUCCGUAGAUAUCACUAGGAACACCUAAAGCGAAGGCGAUCUCCUGGAACAUUACUGACGCUAAGGCGUGAAAGCGUGGGGAGCAAACAGGAUUAGAUACCCGGGUAGUC
rnacentral:rRNA from 1 species